rnacentral:pre_miRNA from 1 species
GAGACACCCCUCCGGGGCAAGACUUGCUUCAAUGGGGCUUUGGUGCUCACUGAGUCUUCCCCCUGAGUGUGUCCUU